rnacentral:rRNA from 1 species
UACGUAGGGUGCGAGCGUUGUCCGGAAUUAUUGGGCGUAAAGGGCUCGUAGGCGGUUUGUCGCGUCGGGAGUGAAAACACUGGGCUUAACUCAGUGCUUGCUUCCGAUACGGGCAGACUAGAGGUAUUCAGGGGAGAACGGAAGUUCCUGGUGUAGCGGUGAAUGACGCAGAUAUCAGGAGGAACACCGGUGGCGAAGGCGGUUCUCUGGGAAUGUCCUGACGCUGAGGAGCGAAAGUGUGGGGAGCGAACAGG